ACGAACGCUGGCGGCGUGCUUAACACAUGCAAGUCGAACGGAAAGGCCCUGCUUGCCGGGUACUCGAGUGGCGAACGGGUGAGUAACACGUUGGUGAUCUGCCCUGCACUUCGGGAUAAGCUUGGGAAACUGGGUCUAAUACCGGAUAGGAACCAUCUUUAGUGUGGUGGUUGGAAAGUUUUUUCGGUGUAGGAUGAGCUCGCGGCCUAUCAGCUUGUUGGUGGGGUAAUGGCCUACCAAGGCGGCGACGGGUAGCCGGCCUGAGAGGGUGUACGGCCACAUUGGGACUGAGAUACGGCCCAGACUCCUACGGGAGGCAGCAGUGGGGAAUAUUGCACAAUGGGCGCAAGCCUGAUGCAGCGACGCCGCGUGGGGGAUGAAGGCCUUCGGGUUGUAAACUCCUUUCGCUAGGGACGAAGCUUUGUUGUGACGGUACCUAGAGAAGAAGCACCGGCUAACUACGUG
rnacentral:rRNA from 1 species